UACUCAUUUCAGAAUAGAGAAUUCAGAACACCCAAGUCACAGAGGAGACAAGUAUAUCAUGGAACUUUGGAACCCAAAGCCUGAAUCAGAUCAACACCCCUCCUGAAGUGGUGUACCAGCCAGACGUAACAAGGGACACCAGAAAGGGACACCUACCUGCCAAGCCAACCUUGCAACACUUGAGGACCUUGUAAAAGAUGUAACAGAAACCCCUCCCUGGGAAUCCAGAAGUUUAAUUUAUACAUCCACUGCUGAAAAAAUUCGGAGACUCAGUACUAAGAGGAGAAGCUUCUGUGGCUUCCUGCAUCAUUUCUUUGGUCAAAUAAGAUGCCUCUAACAUCCCAGAGUCCAAAGGGUGAAUAUACACCUUGGUUUACCUCUCAAGUACCCAAGGAUUUUUUUCCCUUUCCCUUGAAAUGUCAAUCAGAAAGUUUUCCACUUGAAAGCAAUAUACUAACAAACCUUAAGGACCGUUCUUUACACAUGGUCUUUUUAUUAAGAUUUCAAUGUAAUCACCACUCGGUUCCCAUGCUGGUCAUAUGAUUCCUGGAGAGACUAGAGCCACAAAAGGAUGGAGAAAAUCUGACCAGCAGCAUGUGGCACUCCCACACAGUGACUGCUAAUGGGGAAAGAAUGAGGCAAAAUCUGGGUAAGAAAAGGGAGUGGUGAAGACAAGUUUGGUGAGUCAGUGCAAGGGAAAACACAGCAAGUUUAACAGAAAAGAAAAGGAAAUGGGAAAGGAAAAAUAAAAGCAAAGAAGGGGGGAAAAUCUAAACCAAUGAGCAGAAACUUAAAUCCGAAAUCCUGCUCAUCCAUUCAUUCAUUCAUCCCACAGAUAUCAGAUGCCCACUAUGUGCAGGGAACUGAACACAAUAUUAGAGGAGAUACAAAGGUCAAUCAGACACGCUCAGUGAGGUUUUGGUCUAGUAGGAGACAGAAAGGCAUGUACACUAACAAUUGAAAUAUAUGGCAGAAAGUGUAUUGUGCCAUAAAGAAGACAUAAAAGAGAAUCCUCUACUAUGAGACCCAGAGGAGGAAGAGAUUACUCCCAGUGAGGGAUCAGACAAGGAGGCUUCAUAGAAGAAUGACAUUCCAAGCUGAAAACACAACAGAAAGAAGGACACCCUACCAGGAAAUCAAGGACAUAUAGGUACAGUGAGUAACUGGAUUUGAUUGAGUCAUAAGGGAGGGAUGGUAAUAAUAAUAACUAGCAAUCCAGAGAGCCAUGGCUAGACUGGAUAGCUGGAUUGGAGCCAGACUGAGUAUUCCAAAAUCAGACUCAGAAUUUGAAUUUAAAUGCAGUGGAGAAGGAAGGGGGGGGGGUUGACUAGUCAGGAGAAAUCUCAUAACUUAACCCAUAAAAUUAAGAUAAUGAAAUCAACACAAAAUCAAUGGGUGCAGAGAUAUGAAAAGUCCCUCCAAAGAGAUACGAUGUCUUCCAAACCAAAGUAAGAAGAAAGGAGGACGGAAAGGCUUGGAUGAUGGCAUUAAUAUAUUUAAACAAAGAAUGUGACCACAUCCAAGUAUGGUCAACAAAGAGACUUAGAAAAAUCUAGAAAAAUAGAGGGAGCCAUUUUGAUUCCAGAAUCACUCAAGGCAGAGAAAUAUUGGAACCAGGUGAUACACCAUCUUUUCUGCAGGAGGACAAGGCUCUUUUAUGAAGCUUAAAGGAAACAGCAUAUAAUAGCAGCUGGGGUCUGGGGUCUUAGAGUCAGAGGGACUUGGUUCCAAUCUCAGUUCAGGCUCUUACUAGCCUGGAAAGAGCCUUGGUUUCCUCAUUUGUAAAUUGAGGAUAAUUGUGCCUACUUUGCAGGAGGACCAUUGGGAGAACUGAAUGUCCUACUGUAUGCAAAGCACUUAGUAUAAAACCUAGCAUAUAGUAAGCAAUCAAUAAUCUUAGCUUUUUGGUAACUGUAUUCUCCCCCACAAAGUAUGCUAUCAUAUUAUUCCAUGCUCACCAAGCAAGCACGAUAUUAUUAAAUUUCAUUUCUCAGUUUUCUUGGUAUUGAAAAGCAAUAUCCUAGCAAAAUCCAGAAUCCUGUUAACCAAAAAGGAAUCAUCCUUCACUCAAAUAAUAAAUUGGCAUUCCAUUCUGAGCACAGUCACUCAAGUCUGAAUAAAAUCCUGUCUCCAUAAGAAUGAUCUUUUCCAGCUACAAAACAAAAUACAUUUUGUUACCUGAGAACCAGACCUAAAUCAUAGUGACCUAAACCCUGAGGGGUCUUCCUGAGAAGCUAGAUGUCACCCACCAGUCCAGCCCUACCUAAUGCUACCCUCAAUCUACAAGCCAAUUUGGAUAACACUUUCUCAUACUUGUCCUCCACCUUCAUCUCUCACAUACCCUUCAAUUAUGCACUAUGAUGAAGCACUAUAUCUUCCUCUCUAACCUUCUAGAGGUCAAAGAUCCCAUCUUAUCCAUCUUUGCAUUCUUUCCUCCAUAUCCCAGCAUACCUUGCAUCACACAGAAGCAUGAUAUUUACUGUAAGAAUGAAUUUCAAACACAACUUUUUUUAACAGCACAAUCCAUUGCAAUCUGCCAUUCCUGCACCCUGAAGCCCUCUUCUGAUUUAUUGAACUCUUAUUCUGCACUUUUCCUCCCCUCUCUUCUCCGCUCCCCAACCUCUCCACAUCUGAGCUACCAAGUAUUAAAGAAAAGUCAGAAGACUUUUAUUCACUGGGUUCCCAACAAAUUCACACGACUGAGAUCAAGCCAACACUGGGCUGGGAAAUCUUUUAUUCAUAUCUAGUUGAUGUCUCCACUGUGACUCCAAAGAGCAGUGUUGUGCAGGGUUUAAGAUACGGGGCCUGGAGUCAGACGCAACUCAUCGUCUUCCUGUGUGACCUCAGUCAAGGUGCUGAAUUUCCCUAAACUUCAUUUUCCACAUCUGUAAAAUGGAGUAUCUAAAUGAGGUAAUUAAUGCAAACCCUUAGCACCACAGAGUUCAAAAAAUGGGAACUAAUGAGAUAAUUAAUGCAAACCCUUAACACCACAGUGUUCAAAAAACAGGAACUAACACUGUCUUCGAGUUUGUCUAAGUCAUCUUCCAACCCCCAUUCUCUCUUCUACUCCUUCUUCGUUGGAUAACCAAAACCUCCUCACCUACUUCACCGAAACAAUUCAACUGAGUUCUGUCCACCUAUUCUGGGAGGCAAUGGUGGCACAGUGGAAAGAACACUGGAAGCAGGAGUCCAGCUGGUGCCACACACUAGGUCUGUCGAGUUGGACAAAGUUUGUCAAGAUUUGUCAAGUCGGAAACAAGGAUCUGAAGUUUGGGAGAGACAGCUCGGCUGGUAAGACAUACUGAGGAUAGCUAAAUUUAUGGCAUAUUUGAGAUCCUUAGAGGAAGGAGGUGGGGGAAGAGUGAAAAGAUACCUCGUGAGUGAGAUGCCUUGGGGCAUCUUAACAUUUAUGGGAUAGUCAAAAGAGAAUGGGAAUAAAGGAAGGAUGCUCCAGAA